UACGUAGGUGGCAAGCGUUGUCCGGAUUUACUGGGCGUAAAGGGCGUGCAGGCGGUCUGUUAAGUGCAGGGUGAAAGCUCCCGGCUCAACUGGGAGAGGUCCUUGCAUACUGGCGGACUUGAGGGGGGUAGAGGAAAGUGGAAUUCCCGGUGUAGUGGUGAUAUGCGUAGAUAUCGGGAGGAACACCUGUGGCGAAGGCGGCUUUCUGGGCCCUACCUGACGCUGAGGAGCGAAAGUGUGGGGAGCGAACAGG
rnacentral:rRNA from 1 species